GGUGACAUUCCGAGGGGUUCAUGCUGAUUGUGCGGAGAUUGUGACAGCUGGUUAAACUGCAUCCCUUGACAAGGAUGUUGAACUUUUUUUAUGUGCUUAAGUUGAGUCUCCUUCGGUUUCCCAAUGAUGUCUAAGAGCAAAAAAACAUCAUCCAGUUGGCCAUUUGCUCAGAUAUCCCCUGUCAAGACCCUUGGAUCAGAGGGACAAGGACUAUGACGCCUUCACUUCCACCUUUCACUUUGAGGACCCUCUAUUUCGCCCUCACCGCACCUCCAAACCUGUCCCUCCUCCACUGCUCCGACCCACACCACCACCCCCAGACGAGGACCCAUACAGGCCCAUUAAGCCCCCUAAUACCUCUGAUCCCUCUGUCCCUCCUUUCAAAGGUGCUGUCCAAACUAUCACAAGUAUUGUAUAUAUAUCCUCCCUGUUUUCUUAGUGGAAACUGUGAUCACUUAUGUGGCCCUCUGUCCUUCCCCCCACCAGCCCGAGCCCUGUGCACCCAACCCUCAGAGUCCACACGCUGGGACACAGACCAAGGUGUGCCCAUACAACGAAAUGGAAUCCCGAGCAACCCGGAGUAUUCAUUCUGCCCCCUGCCCCCAGUGGCCAAAAAGACAGAUUGGCCCCCAUCCCGCCCUGUAACCUAUAUUUGUACUUCCUUCAGGACAGAGCACAAACACGAGGGCGGAGGAAGCAGAGGGACUUCCUGGACCCAUCUUUGUAUUCCCAUCUGUGGUGGCCACUGGGAUGGGCAACAGUGGGGUUAACAUGUUGUCUCCUCCCCUACGACCGGACUCUGUUCCUCCUCCCAUCCUCAUUUACCCUGGUGUUUUUAUUCCCAUCAUAGGAGAAAACAUUGGACAUAGAUAAUCGCCUGUCAAGAUUCAGACUUCACUGAUUCAAAGUAGUUUUCCCCAGUUCACCCCACAGAUACCCAGCUACUUUUGUAUUGAAAUUAGCUGGAGAUUAAACUAAAUAAAUGUAUAAUGCUGACUAUUAUAGAACAAUCCACACUGUCAAUCGUUGGGUCUUUCUAUACUUAAUGCAUAUUUCUGUUUACCAUUGGAUGUAAAACAAUUAUCUGCAAUAAAUGAAUAAAACUUG